CUUCAGUUAUGCCACUUCUUAGGACGCCUUUGGAUUAGCUGUGAAAGUGACUGUUCUCUGAGCAGC